UGAGCAGGUCUUGAACAGCAUUUGCAGUCGCCAUCGAGGGCUUCAUGAGACAGACAUGCUGUGGCUGCGUGACGCCUUACUCAUGUCUCGCCUCUGCUAUCACGCACCAUACAUUAAUCUCAUAAAGGCACAGCACAGCAAGCUUGACACUCUCAUUAGCAAAGCCACAAAACUUGCAAUAGGGGUGCUGACAAACACAAGUACGUAGAUCAUAGAGAAGGCAGGUAACCAUAACAUCCUAGAAGAGCUUAUCAGAUAAAUGCAGGCAGGAAAUUAGACUCAGUAGUACCACAUCAGCCAGAAGAAUCAUGCGAUGCUGGGUUACGAACCCAAUGACACCCCACUGCCCGCUACAAGCAUGCUCGGCAAAAAUUCCCCAGCACUGCUCAGAAUAGCCCCCAUACAAAUGCACGUGGACCCCCCAAUGAAACAAAGAAUGCAGAGAACAGCGCAUCACAUACUACAGCGAGUACAUUCAACGAGCCAACACCGACACAUGCCUGUACACCGAUGCUGCCAUCAAAAGCAGCGCAGCAGCCAUAGCCGCUACCAAUCACUGCCUUAUGAUCACUCGCAUGCGAACCAUCAAGACGGAGCCACAGUGAACUGAGCUUGCCGCCAUCAUUAAGGCGAUUGAAGUCCCACCAAUCACCGCAAGGAAAUGUAUCAUAUUUACACAUUCGACGAAAGCCUGCCAGAUACUUCAGAGUGGACAACUUCCCAAAGAUUACUGUGAGGCAAUCCACAAACACCUGCACCUGCCCACUGGAGUGAUCUGGAUACCGGGGCUCGUGGGAAUGGAGGGCAGUGAAGGGGCUAACCUGCUCGCCCGAGAAGCACCGUGCUGGGCCCCUUCCGUCGGGCCCCUGCUCAGGUCAAUCCUCUCAAAAGGCUCCCGCAAUUCUCACAUUAGCACCAAACAGAGAAGACAGAAGACAAUUUCCAACGCUCAGCCCACAUCUCACCAGACUGCAGGGCACACUAAUUCGCCAAGCAGAAACAUCCUACAUACGCAAACUAGACAACACCUUAUAUGGGGAUAAGCAAAAGAGCCUCUGCCACAGUGCGGGGUCUGUGGCGGUCACCCAAACACUCCACACGUACUAUGGCACUGCAGGCCUCCAUUCCCAACUCUUCCCAUUGGCUCCAUUCUCACACUACCCCCUACAGUCACCACACAAGAUGACCAAGCGAUCUCGGCUGACUAUACAUCGACUUUGCAAUGGUGCAGGCGAUCAGCGGGCGCCUGGACUGAGGGGUCCAGUUCAUCGCACAAUUUUUUUUCUCUAAAUAAUGUUUACUACUACUACUACUACUACUACUUCUACUACUACUACUACUACUACUACUACUACUACUACUACUACUACUACUGCUGCUGCUGCUGAUACUACUACUACUACUAGACGUCACGGCGAGCUGGUGCUAGAAUAUGAUCUCUGGCUAGUCAGCUGUCUCCGCGCGCUAUCCUGGAGACUGCAAAUUUAGCCGUGUCCGUGCCGUUCAUGCCUGCGCAGGGAGCGCGGCGAGCUAUUGGAGCGUCUGUCGUCCCACGUAGUCCUUGCCGUGGGCGCUACAGCAGCUGCGCUGUCUGCGGCCGAGGGCGGUUUCGCUUCGUACAAAGGCUCGACAGUGACAUGUACAUGUCUAGCAGUGCCUUUUUACUUUAAACCAUCCCCGUCCCUCCACGAGCUCCGUCCCUCCCGGCAUUUCACGUGGAGGCAGAAUUCUUCACUGUUCUUGCAUUUCCGCUCCUACAACGUUCACCUUCACUGAGCCAACCGAUGCCGUAAUACCGCGUUCACACACUUUAGAUCUUAGCUCUCGAUCGCGGUCGUCAGUGCUCCUUGUGAUCGAGAUUACUUCCAUUGGGCGCGCCUAUAAGUUAAAAUUAAGUGAUCUAAUAUAACAUGAAUACUUAAGUCCUUGUGACUGUUUCGUCAGCUAUGGGCAGAUUAUCUGACAGAUUAUUGUCGUCGUGAAGAAAUAUUGGGUGGAUUUUCGACAACCAACGAAAUAUUCUCACGCGCUUUAAAAAAAAAGUUAGGCAGUUUCGGUUUUCUAGUGCGUGAAGUGCUACACGAUGGUGCCAACUACUACCUGAAACAAAAACUAAAGCAGUUUCGGUUUCGGUUUUCUAAAGCGUGAAGCGCCACAAGGUGGUGCCACCUACUUCCUGAAACAAGUGUCAUGGCGGCUUCCUGUUUGGCUUUUUGAAGUUGAAACAGCUCAAGUACCAAGCUUUCUUGCUCUAUUUUGCAUGAUAUUGUGUUCUUAAAUGUACGUCUUCGUUACAAGUAUACUUAGUACCAUCUAGAAAAUCAAGCAUCGAUAUUUAAUUUUCGGCGCUUUGUGUACCCGUCAUACCUGAAGGCAAGCAAAUCGCCACUGCGUCCUGCACGAACUUGUGGCCUGCCUAUUGAGGCCACUCCUCUCUGAACAAGGUUGUGUCAGUGUCCUCAGACCAAUGUGAUGUACUGGCAACAGGACGGGCUGUGUGCAGCUGUCAAGUUAUCCAGCCUUCGGUCUGGCCAGCUUGUAUUAGUGUUGCGUUAAUGUAUACCCUGAAAGCAUAAAAAUAAACGCUACUGUGAUGUGAUAGCCAUUUCCUUGUAUGAAUGUGCCAUAUACUUCGUGUGUGUUAUAGUUCAGGUGCACUAUGAAUGAUGUUGAAUGUCCCGAGAAGUACAGCCUAUGCGAGCACAGUCGGAACACCUUCCUAAAGAACAAGUAACAUUUGUGUGCCAAACAUUUUUUUACCUCAGACAGACAAAGAACUUUAUUAAGGUCCUGAGGAGCAAGCCAUUGGAGCCCCAGAGAGGCCCCUGGCUAGCUGUUGGCUAAUCCCAUGUUGGAGCCGGGAGGCCAUGACUCUCUGCUCUCUCAUGGGCCCUCUGGAC